rnacentral:lncRNA from 1 species
AAAAAAGAUUAAAUGAAUCAGAGUAGCUCCAUGCAGCCUCCCACUUUUAAUCUUUUUGAAGAAUGUGAACAGUACCAUUCACUGGUAAAAAAUGUAACCAAGAGAGUUCUGCAGUGUUGUUGAUUUCUGCUGGAUAUUCAUAGUAGGAAUUAUACUUGUAAAUGUUGUGUAUGUAUUGAUUGAUUUUUUCCUACAGCUCUACAUUUUAAAAGAAUACAUUUUGGGCCAAAUUUCAAGUUACAAUUUUUUCCUCCAGAUGCAUGUGAAAAGUCUUCAUUUGAAAGUUUGCUAAGCAACAAAUCCUUCAAAUGGAACAGGUUGCAACUCUGCUCUGCCUAUAAAGUACAGAUGCAUGGCCUGUCUCUGACUGGAUGCAUGCCAGAUUGUCCUUUGGGAUAUAGCCCAGUGAGCAGGAGAAAUGGGUUUGAACUUGGCAAAAUGGCAUUAGGCAUAAAGGAAGAAACUGGAGAGCUGCUUCAUCAGUGUCAAUCCAGACUGUGGUUGGUCUCAUAAAAAGGAUCUUAUUGAUGAAUUAGUACAGCUACCCUCUCAGCCAUGGAAGAAUACCUCAUACAAAAAAAUCCAUAGGUGACUAAUAGGUGUGGUAAGCAGCCUGUGAGAUUUGGGAGAAACAUUCUGGCAAACCUGGAAAUCAACCUAGAUCUAAAUUACCUGCUAUUGUGGAUAUUUUAGUCUUAAUUCAUGCUUUUCCACCACAUUUCAGAAGAUUUGGCUGACAGUUGCCCUAAAAACACAAGUGUGCUCGCAGCAACAUUGAAGCAAACUAGGCUUGAAGAAAGGAACCGGAACAAAGUCCUAGAUCUCCUUCUAGGAGUUUUCCAAAAGAGAUUUAGCUUACCACGACUGGACAUCUGCUCCCAGAGCAUCCUGCUAUAUAACUGUGCUGAAAGGACUCCAACGAAGGAGGAAUGA